CGGAAAAGGGAAAGGCUUAGUGGCGGACGGGGUGAGUAACGCGUGGGUAACCUGGCCCAUACAGGGGGAUAACACUUAGAAAUAGGUGCUAAUACCGCAUAACAACAGAAAGCGCAUGCUUUUUGUUUGAAAACCAAGGUGGUAUGGGAUGGACCCGCGUCUGAUUAGCUGGUUGGCGGGGUAAAGGCCCACCAAGGCGACGAUCAGUAGCCGGCCUGAGAGGGUGGACGGCCACAUUGGGACUGAGACACGGCCCAAACUCCUACGGAAGGCAGCAG
rnacentral:rRNA from 1 species